GGCCCACACUAACACGUGCCAUCGUGGCCCGCACUAACACGUGCCAUCGUGGCCCACACUAACGCGUGCCAUCGUGGCCCACACUAACGCGUGCCAUCGUGGCCCGCACUAACGCGUGCCAUCGUGGCCCACACUAACGCGUGCCAUCGUGGCCCACACUAACGCGUGCCAUCGUGGCCCACACUAACACGUGCCAUCGUGGCCCACACUAACACGUGCCAUCGUGGCCCACACUAACACGUGCCAUCGUGGCCCACACUAACACAUGCAAUCGUGGCCCACACUAACACGUGCCAUCGUGGCACACACUAACGCGUGCCAUCGUGGCCCACACUAACACGUGCCAUCGUGGCCCACACUAACGCGUGCCAUCGUGGCCCACACUAACGCGUGCCAUCGUGGCCCACACUAACACGUGCCAUCGUGGCCCACACUAACACGUGCCAUCGUGGCCUACACUAACACGUGCCAUCGUGGCCCACACUAACGCGUGCCAUCGUGGCCCACACUAACGCGUGCCAUCGUGGCCCACACUAACACGUGCCAUCGUGGCCCACACUAACGCGUGCCAUCGUGGCCCACACUAACGCGUGCCAUGGUGGCCCAAGCCACUCCAAGUUGAAGGUGCCGAUGGCCUCCGUGCGGGGGCGGGGCAUCGGAACCUUCAACGUGGAGUGGCGAUAUCCAGACGGUGGUGAAUGUGGUGAUGGUGAAGCAAGUGCCAUGGUGGACCCAGUAAACGUGCAACAUUUUGGGUCAACGUUGGUUGACAUGGGCCCGACGUUGGGCCAACGUUUUCCCGACGUUGACGCGCCCAGUGGGAUGCACCCCGCGUGUCCUCGUCCCCAGGGCCUGGGCUUCAGCAUCGUGGGCGGGCGCGACUCGACGCGCGGCAUCAUGGGAAUCUUCGUGAAGACCGUCUUCCCCGGGGGGGCGGCUGCCAUGGAUGGCCGGCUGCGCGAGGGCGAUGAGCUGCUGGAGGUGAACGGGGAGCCCGUGCGCGGCCUCACCCACGUGGAGGCCAUCGCCACCUUCAAGCGGCUGCCCCGCGGCGUGGUGACCCUGGCUGUGCGUGCUCCUCUCUGCGGCGCCGCCACCUUUGACCUCGCCUCCGACAUGACCUUUGGCCUGACCCCGAGCUCCGGUCAUGUGACUGGGAAAGCGAGCGACCCCAUGGACCAGAUCGUCGUGGAGGUCACGCUUAUGAAAGGUCAAGGGUCAUCACAGAGUUAUAGGGUUAAAUACACGGGGGGAGGGCGGUGGGGUGGGGGCGAAAGGGCGGUGGAGGGGUCAUCACUCCCCUGGCCCCGUCUGACUGAGCUUGCAGGUGAGAGGUGAGUAUGCAGGUGAGCUUACAGGUGAGUGUACAUGCAAGUGUGCAGGUGAGCAUUCAGGUGAGCGUACAGGUAAGCAUAGAGUGUGCAGGUGAACAGACAGGUGAGCAGAGAGAGCGAGGACGCUUGCAGGUGUAAAGGUCAGCAUGUGGGCACCUACUACACAUGAGUGAGCAUGUGAACGUGCAGGUGAGCAGCAUGCCCCCCCCACCCUCCGCCCACAGAGCGAGGCGUGGGCCUCGGGAUCGGCGUGUGCUGUGUCUCAGCUGAGGGGGGCACGGGGGCAGACGACCCCGAGAGGAACCCGGGGGGACCGGGGGGGCCACGAGGGGCAGCAGGGCCCCCCAGGGUGUUCAUCCUCUCCCUCGCUCCGGGCUCCGCCGCUCAGCUCAGCGGGCGACUCAGGCGUGGUGACCAGGUGCUGGAGGUGGCCGGCCGCAGUCUGUGCCGUGCCGGCCGUGGUCUGGCCGAGGCGUUUGCGCUGCUGAGCGAGCGAGAGCCAGGGCCCGUGACCCUACUCGUGAGCCGCCACCCCGACCCCACGGUGAGGCCUGUACUAACACACACGCACUGGCACGCACUUGUCAUUGUGGUGACCGAGGUCAGUCUUGCAAAUGAGACUCGUCCUGGUCUCUCGAGUUCCCACCGUGUUACACAGACUCAACUUGACACGGUACUUGAGACGCGAACCCCCUGCUCACCCAUCGGCAGCCGAUGAUGGCACCUGUGGUAUGCAUGGUGGUGGUCGCACAUCCAAACACGAUCCGCGCUCGGUACUGCUCAGCUUUUGAGAUCUGGAGGUUCCGAGUACAGAAAAUCCGACCGGUAGCGAUCUUCACUGGAUCCGAAGCAGUGUCGGUGACGCGUCAAGUACUCAUUGUGUGUCACUCACCACACCAGCCAAUCAGCUGCUACGAAGAUAACCCCCCAUGCAACAUGGCCGCUGUGAAGUCCCCACGCAACAUGGCUGCCGCGACGUCAUCGCUCCAUGUGCAUUAGUUGGUUCUGCCGCUGUGAUCAGUCGUGUAUUUAUAUUAUUCAUGUUAAUUGUAUCCAUUAUUAACAUACUAUCGUUACUAAUGCAAUUUACGUUAAUGCCAUAAUAAUUAUGUUAAUUUAUUCAAAGUUGUAUGAUUCUUUUACUGUGACAAUCUACGUAAGAGUGGUCUCGACCUCGCCUGAAUCCUUUCCUAACGUACGCAAUGUCUUGUGCGUAACUCCCGUGUGGAAUCGGAGUUUAGGACAAAUCUCAGCGUGAAUCGUCGAUCUGAACUCGGGCUCCUUGUGAGGCCAUCGCGGCUGAUUUGGUGCCCUCCACCCGGGUAGCCCCGUGCUUAACACACGCGUGUGACAGUGUGUGUGUUGAUACAUGUGUAGUGUGUCUGUAGGUCGACUCAGCCUUAAAUGAGUAGUGCCGUGUGCUGUGCGUAGUAAGCUUCAGCACGUGGGCGUGCUGCUGGCCACACCAACCCCUCGUGCCGGCAAUUGUCGGUGCUCCCGGGGACCUUUGUCUGAUGCUCGCUAACAGCACUUGCCCCAUCAGCUUGUGUAGGCUA